GGUGGCAUAAUGGUUAAAGCACUUGGCUACUAACCAAAAGUUUGAUGGUUCAAAUCCACCAGCCA
rnacentral:tRNA from 1 species